AAAUUGAAGAGUUUGAUCAUGGCUCAGAUUGAACGCUGGCGGCAGGCCUAACACAUGCAAGUCGAACGGUAACAGGAAGCAGCUUGCUGCUUCGCUGACGAGUGGCGGACGGGUGAGUAAUGUCUGGGAAACUGCCUGAUGGAGGGGGAUAACUACUGGAAACGGUGGCUAAUACCGCAUAACGUCGCAAGACCAAAGAGGGGGACCUUCGGGCCUCUUGCCAUCAGAUGUGCCCAGAUGGGAUUAGCUAGUUGGUGAGGUAACGGCUCACCAAGGCGACGAUCCCUAGCUGGUCUGAGAGGAUGACCAG
rnacentral:rRNA from 1 species